rnacentral:tRNA from 1 species
GUCAAAUUAGCAAAAAUAGUGCAAAUAAUUUAGAAUUAUUAUAUGAAAUAGAACAUUUCAUUUGAUA